GGCAGUGUGGCCGAGUGGUUAUGGCGCUGCGUUCAGGUUUACCUGAAUCCAAACUUCGCAGUGGAGCAAUCCGCGUGGGUUCGAGUCCCACCGCUGUCA